AGGAUUAUAAGCACAAUAAGGCACUAUGUGGACUAUGUCAGGAUUCAAGCACUUGGUGUCACUACUCCCUGAGUGGAUGAAAAAACACAUGUAUUUGGCAUAAACAAGAUAAAGAAACAAAACAAAAUUUCACCAAUUCUAUCUGAAUUAAGGAUAUUUCUUUUAUUUUCUUCUAAUAUUUACAAGCAUUAAAAAAAGUCCAGCAACUUUGUCAGAACACAAAUUCACAUAGGUGGACUCUUAUGCUCUCUUCCAACGCAAGUUGAGUCUGCACCCCCCAAGAUUUUC
rnacentral:lncRNA from 1 species